rnacentral:snRNA from 1 species
AGCUUUGCGCAGUGGCAGUAUCGUAGCCAAUGAGGUUUAUCCAAGGCAUGAUUAUUGCUAGUUUGA